rnacentral:lncRNA from 1 species
AAUUGCAGAAAGAGGCUGCUGAGAUGGGAAAGGGCUCCUUCAAGUAUGCCUGAGUCUUGGAUAAACUGAAAGCUGAGCGUGAACGUGGUAUCACCAUUGAUAUCUCCUUGUGGAAAUUUGAGACCAGCAAGUACUAUGUGACUAUCAUUGAUAAAACCUUCAGAAGGAAAGGAGAAUGUUUUGUGGACCACUUUGGUUUUCUUUUUCGCAUGCAGCAGUUUUAAGUUAUUAGUUUUUAAAAUCAGUACUUUUUAAAUGGAAACAACUUGACCAAAAAUUUGUCACAGAAUUUUGAGACCCAUUAAAAAAGUUUAAUGAGAAAAAAAAAAAA